rnacentral:rRNA from 1 species
UACGAAGGGGGCGAGCGUUGUUCGGAAUCACUGGGCGUAAAGGGCGCGUAGGCGGCCCGCCAAGUCGCGUGUGAAAGCCCCGGGCUCAACCUGGGAACGGCGCGCGAGACUGACGGGCUGGAGUUCGGGAGAGGAGAGUGGAAUUCCCAGUGUAGAGGUGAAAUUCGUAGAUAUUGGGAAGAACACCGGUGGCGAAGGCGGCUCUCUGGACCGUCACUGACUCUGAUCUGCGAAAGCUAGGGGAGCAAACAGG